AUUGAACGCUGGCGGCAUGCCUUACACAUGCAAGUCGAACGGUAACAGGUCUUCGGAUGCUGACGAGUGGCGAACGGGUGAGUAAUACAUCGGAACGUGCCCGAGAGUAGGGGAUAACGAGGCGAAAGCUUUGCUAAUACCGCAUACGAUCUCAGGAUGAAAGCAGGGGACCGCAAGGCCUUGCGCCCACGGAGCGGCCGAUGGCAGAUUAGGUAGUUGGUGGGAUAAAAGCUUACCAAGCCGACGAUCUGUAGCUGGUCUGAGAGGACGACCAGCCACACUGGGACUGAGACACGGCCCAGACUCCUACGGGAGGCAGCAGUGGGGAAUUUUGGACAAUGGGCGCAAGCCUGAUCCAGCCAUGCCGCGUGCAGGAUGAAGGCCUUCGGGUUGUAAACUGCUUUUGUACGGAACGAAAAGACUCUGGUUAAUACCUGGGGUCCAUGACGGUACCGUAAGAAUAAGCACCGGCUAACUACGUGCCAGCAGCCGCUGUAAGAC
rnacentral:rRNA from 1 species